UAAGUAAGCGGAGGAAAAGAAACUAACUAGGAUUCCCUUAGUAAUGGCGAAUGAACAGGGAUCAGCUCAGUGCCAAAUCGGAAUCACUUGUGGUUCUGAAAUGUGGCUUGAAGGCAGUACCAGUGGCAUCGCGGACGAAAGUCUCUUGGAAAAGAGCGUCAUAGAGGGUGAGAAUCCCGUGAGUCGUUCGCCGUUUGUCACGUACGGUCUGCGUUCUAACGAGUCGCGUUCCUUGGGAUUGGAGCGUAAACGGGUGGUAAAUUUCAUCCAAAGCAAAAUAUAUACUCGAGACCGAUAGCACAAAAGUACCGUGAGGGAAAGGUGAAAAGAACUUUGAGAAGAGGGUUAAAUAGUGCCUGAAAUCGUUGAGAAGGAAGCGGAUGCCGCCGUCGCAUAUGCUGAUUGUAGGAUUGCUGCUCGCUCCUGUCUUCUGCUACUCAUUCACAGACCUGGUCGUGUUGAGCAGUUGUUUGGCAGAUGUUAGUGGUGUUUCCUACUUUCAGUCGUCAGCAUCACUGGCUGAGUGGAAAUAAUCCUUGGAUGCUAAUUGGUUCGCUAUCUGUGAAUUGGUUGCUUCCUUGCGAUACUCACUACUCGGUCAGUGAGGAAGUGCGUUUGCUGGUCAACGAGCUUUCUAACUGUCAUUACCCUGCGCUUUUCGAUUCGUCGAGUGGCCAGGAUGUGGCUUUGAGAUUGUUCGCACUUAGUAAUCGCGAUGCUGGCUUCCAACGGUUGCCUCCGGCCCGUCUUGAAACACGGACCAAGGAGUCUAACGUAUGUGCGAGUGUGUGAGUGGCAAACUUAUACGCGUAAUGAAAGUGAGGCCGUAUGGCCAUGUUGGGGUCACCAACAACCGACCUUGAUCUUCGGUGAAAGGUUUGAGUAUGAGCAUAUCCGUUAGGACCCGAAAGAUGGUGAACUAUGCCUGAGCAGGGUGAAGCCAGGGGAAACUCUGGUGGAGGCUCGUAGCGAUA
rnacentral:rRNA from 1 species